UUUCUCUCUUACGAUUUUGUAGUUCUAAACAUGUUUAUGAUUCUGUACGUAUUGCGAAAGUGUUCUUAUCUUCUUUUUAUUUUUAAGACAUUCAGCAUGCCUUUUGUUGAUCUUUGGUGUUGUUUAAUUCAGCUUUGUCAUUCCGUGUUCAUUGCUUCUCUAGGAAUCAUGAGUUAGUCAUUUUUUAAAUAAUUGUAUAUAUGUUUGAAAUCAUGUGCUAGCAUUCCAUUUCCUUAGUCUGAAGCUAUCAUAUAAUGUUUGUUUCCAAGCUUUGUUCAAGAUUACCUUUGCUUCACAAUCCGCAUACCAAUGUAGUUGGAUUUAAAGUCCCUAUUUGUCUCGUGAGUAAUAUGUCCUUCAGUCAUGUCUAUCUAAUAGUUAAAGUAAUGAGCUGUUCCCUUUAAGAUUUUGUGUGUCAAAAUAUUUAACAGAGCAAAGAGUGUUUACUUUAUGAAAGUAAUAUUCUUGUACUUUAUAUUUUACUCUCAUUUUGGAAUCAUGUUUGCAGGAUUUUAAAUACCUCAUAAUAAGAAGAAUAGAUUGUGCCCAACAAAAUGCAUGUUUAUGUUAAUAAGUGACUGUAUUUUUGUUUAAUUUAAGGUGACAUUAGGAAGAUAUGAAACAUGUUUUUAUCUACUCGUUGAUUAAAAUGGGAACAACAUUGUAUGAUUCUUUUUGAAUUGAUGAUCUCAUUGUUUUAAAUUUGUUUUUGACUUCAAAUAUUGUACCUGAUAGCAAUCCUAUUUACUUCUGUUGUGUUUGAUGUUAUAUGGAAGUUAAGCUACCAAGUUAAUAUACCAGUGCUACUCUUGUUUUAUGUACCUUAUUCUUUUUUUGUGAGAACUACAUCUCUUCCUCUAAUUUCUUUAUUUUCUUCCUUUACCUGUACACUUUGGAGCAAAUGGAGUCUUAAUUCAGGACUCUCUCAAAACGGAGUCUCAAGAUGAGACUCGACAUACCCAUUUAUGGAGUCAUCCUAUUCUGCAAUUCUUAAACCACAUCGGACAAGCGAAACUCGCUAGAGACCGCCUAUGACUACUUUUCUUUUCUCUUUUAGCGUUCACUCUAUUGAUUUUCUUCUGGUUGUUUUUGCUUAUGAGAUUUAGGUUCAUUUUGGUUUGACGUACUGCUUAACAUAGUAUAUUAGUAAAAUGCUAGUUAAACGUCUAGGAUAUCUUAUUUAGUUAAAUACCCAAAUCAACAGUAAUCGAAAUAUGAUUUCCAAAUUAUUCAUCCAGCCUUGUGAAAAGAUUUUUAAACUGAUUUAUUUACUCCUAUCAUCAUAUCAUCAUAUAAUACUAAAAGUGGGAAGAUUCUAAGGCAAAAGUUGAAUUACCAAAAUGUCCAUAAAAAGUUGAAGAACCAUUUUAUUCUUCACUUAAAAAUUAUACCUAUAAAAUUUUUGUCUAAAAAAGUAAAUGCACCUUUCAAUAAAUAAUAAAUUAGAUAACAAAAUGUAAAAGAUGAAUCCCAGUCUUACGUGGGAAUGUGUUCCAGAAGCUAAUGCAUUCAUUACAAUUUGUACAAGUCUUUUUAUCUUCUCACUGUUUAUUGCAAAUCUACGUUUAUAUAUAUCGUCCUUUGGAAUGUCCUUUCAAUAUUUAAUUUCCUUCAUCUUUCGAUAAUAAUUACAGAUUCAUGUAUGCCAGUCUUAUAGUCUUUUCUUUUCCUUUAUUUAUUUGUUAAAUCAUCAUUGAACAACAAACUCAAUUACUCAAUUUUUUCUCCCAAACCCAUUGUGUGAUGAAAAAAAUUCUGUUUUCAUAAGAAAAUGAUGUUAUUCUAAUCCUGCAUAUCUGGUCACCAUCUCAAGUUUCAACACACCAAAUACAUCUAGAAGUGUUAAUCAGGUACGUCUAUUUUCUUGUUCUUAUUGUUUUGUUAAUUCUAUACCUUAAUUUUAUCCUCUCUACUCAUUUAUCCACGUUAGUUACAUAAAUUUUAAAAUUUCAAUGUACGAACAUGUUAAGUUUGGACAAUAUUUUUGGAUAAAAAAACCUCAAAGUCGGAAUAAUUUGUUUUGACCGAAUUAGUAGAAGAAAGAUUAAUCAAUCAUCCUUUUAAUAUUGCCAUUAGAAAAUCCGGAAAAAAGUUGGGCUACCAUAAAAGUAAAAGUUGGACUAAGCUUUUUGCCGAAUUACUAAAUUUUUUAGUAUAAGAAAAUAUUAAUUUAAAUAUCGGUUCCGUAAUAUAUAUAAAUUUGUGCUACUUGGCACAUUCUCUUCAUUACAGUUUAGAAGUUUCAUCCAAGUUAACAAGUGUUUUCAAGAGAUUCUUCCAAAUCCACACAGCUCAAGCCAUUCUUUCUAGAAAUGUUGGAGUUCCGUCAAAGUUAAAGUUAUUGAAACAAGCUCUUAAAAUUUCGUUCAUCAAAGAAUAUAUAUUCUUAGUAGGAGGAGCAUUAGUUAUUUUGGUAAAAAGGUGAUCAUAUCAUAUUUUAUAUUGUUUCUUGCUAGAACUUAAGAAGUCUAGCAUAUCAUUAGUUUCUAAGGCAGCGAAUUUUUGUAUAUUACACUUUCAAUAUUAUUAUUUUGAUGUUAACAUAUUUCGUUA